CGGGAGGACGCCGGCCACCGAGCCACCGAGCCCACCGAGCCCCGGACCCAGCCGUGACCCACACACACGCGUCGCGGCCGGUGCCGGAUUGCACGGGAACUCACAAAACGGGUCCUUUCCCUCGAGCUCGAGGAAAUUAUCUGAGUGUGGCCGACCUGUUGCCUCACCUUGGCCGAAAGGGGAAACCAGAAAGAAGAAAUUGUGCUGCAGGCACUUGCUCUGACUGGGCCUGACCGAAAAGGGACUGGUGUUUGUAUGUGGUUACUCUCUCCUUCUCUGGCCUCAAGAGUCAGAUUCGUGCCCACGGGCACCCCUGGCCCAAGAGCUUCCCGGGAGCAACUGAGCGAACGGCCUGACCAAGGAGGAGAUGAGUGGUCUUCCAGGCAGCUACACCGAAGGCUGGGGUAACCCAGUGAUCCAGUGCUGGCAUGUGGAAGGAUGGGGACCGUGUCACCUGGGCACUGAGAUAUCCUAGCAACACCAUGAGGGACUUUUAUUCUCUUUACCUACUGACUGGAGAAACUGGCUAUUGGGCGGGGCUGAGGGGUUGGGGGUGGGUGCAUUUGCCCUAGUCAUACAGAUAAAGAGUGGUGGAGCUAAAUCUGUCCCUAGGCCUGCAGUCCCCCAUCCCACCCCAAGUCUUCUCCUAGACACCUGGCACAGUGUGAUGGGGGAGGGGAGCACAAGGCUCCCAGAGGACUUAGAGAGAGAGAGGUACUAGGUAGGGAAUGUGGGGUACUAGCUUUCCUUGGAAUGGUAGGAGAGAUCAAAGGGAAGGCCAGGAGGACAGUCUGAACUGAGAUGAGCCCCAGAAGCCCCUGGGUAGCUGAGGUCUACACCCACAGAUCUGGGUCUGCCCACCUCUACCCCAAGCUUGACCAAGGGCUCCUCAGCAAUUAGACACAAGGUUCUCAGUUUGGGUGGGAGUAGGGGCCUCUGGGUACAUGAUGUAACCAUGAGGGUGAAGGGAUAAACCUGGGGUGGGAUGGGGCUAGGAACCAUGUAUGACUUCCUCUCUCUGUCUCUGGGCCCGACCCCAUGCCCAGAAUCACAUGGGAGACACUCCUCUAGGAUGAGCUUGGAUUGGUCCUGGAGGACUGGCAUGUGCUGCUGACGACUGGCAUACCAGGGUGGCCAGGAGCAGUCCAGAAGGGGAGUCAAGAGAGACCCUGGCCCUCACCACCCACCCCCAGUCCCACAUCAGCUCUGACACUGGUUGCUCUCAGCCCAGGCACUCAGAAUUCCCAGGGCUGAAAACCAUAGCAGUCUGGUUGGCCUCAGGGACAGAGUGGCCCAGUCUCACACCAUCUGCCCUCCCCAGCUGGAACCCGGGUCCUGGGUGAAGAUCACCUGCCUCACCCAGGGAACUGAGACUGGACCAAAGCCACCAUGUGCCCCUUGCAGUUUCCCAGAGACAGGAUUGGAUGGCUUCCUUCCUUGUGCCAAGUCUCCUGGGAGCCCGCAGUCCUGGUGGCAACUCCUCCACUCCAACCCUAUCCAUCCAGGACCACUUCUGGGAGUCUGCCAGCCUGCCGACUCCAUCCAUAUAUCUCUGGAGACAGCCUCAGAGAAAGGAGAGUGACACAGGCUUCAUGAGUGGGGAGGAGGAUGCAGGUCCUUUUGGGGGCUGAUACCUUUCAAGCCCAGGUCUCACCAUCUGGGAAACUGGAACCCAGCUCCAGCCUCUUCCUGGGUCAGGCGGAGAGGAGGAAGACCUGAGAAUGGCAUGAGGAAGGCUCCUCAUGGAUUCUGUGCCCUGGCCCUCAGGGAGAAAUGUGCAUAGGAGCCUCAGGGUCCUUGGCCUCACAGAUGGAGAAGCUCCACCCAAUGCCGAGGGGCACAGGAAGUGGCUCUGGGUGGAGCUGCUGUGGCUGUCCCUGCUCAAAGGGAAUGAGCCUUAGGCUGUGUUCCUGCCACUGCUUUUCUCAUCGUUUCGGCCUUGAGUAGUGAGCUGCUUUUCCUUUCCCACUUCCCCUCACACCCCACUGGACCCUAGCUGCUUGGUGGGUUCUCAAUGCACUUUAUUUAUUUGCAGUCUGUUUUCCAGGCAGCGGAACUUGUACAAAAUCAGAGACACCAACCCAUAUAAGAUGACUUUCACUUUUCUGUGUGUGUGAACUCUGUACUGGUCAGCACAAUCUGGUCAGAGAAAUGUUCUUGUUUCUGCUAUUGUCAAAUCUUGCUGUCUAAGUUGAAAAAAAAGUCCUUGAGUUCAAAAAAAUAAAAUAAAACUGGAGGCCUCCUG